UCCCCCGUUGCGCAACGCGCUUUCCCCCACUUCACCCGCCUCGGCGCCAUGGCUAAGCUCGCGCUGGCGCUCCUCCUCCUGCUGGCCGUGGCGGCGUCCGCGUCGGCCAGCAGCGGGAGCCACCUGGAUCUCGACCUGGGCUUCCUCUCCUCUGGGGAACGCCGGAGGGAGUGCCGCGGCACGGUGGCCGAGUGCCUCGCCGAGGAGUCGGAUGAGGAGGGCCUUGACCUGGCUGGAUCCCACCGCCGCGCGCUCUACGGCGGCGGGUACAUCAGCUACGGCGCGCUGCGGCGGGACAACGUGCCCUGCUCCCGCCGCGGCGCCAGCUACUACAACUGCCGCCCGGGCGGCCAGGCCAACCCCUACCACCGCGGCUGCUCCCGCAUCACCCGCUGCCGCGGCUGAGGCGGCGCCGGAUCCGCCAGACUGCCGAGGAAAGGUCUGGUCCAGGUCCCGGCCCUUUCGCCGACAAUAAUUUCUUUCGCCUUGUUCGUUCAGGCGCUACCGCCACCGCCACCGCUGUUUACUAUAGCACCAGACCUACGGAUUGAAUUGUUGUAUGGAUUUGUUUGGCCAAAUCUUUGUUCUGUUGUAAAGUAAGGGGAGGGAUUCCUGCCCCUGCGCCUGCUUAAAAUACUUAUAUGAACAUAUCAGUCUUUCUUGUUUUUUUUCUCUCUCUCCCAUUGCUUGAUUGGUUGGUUCUCGUAUGUCCUGCUUGAUUUGAAUUGAUUGUUACAAAACGGCG
rnacentral:lncRNA from 1 species